UCGGGAAUAUUGCGCAAUGGAGGAAACUCUGACGCAGUGACGCCGCGUGCAGGAAGAAGGUUUUCGGAUUGUAAACUGCUUUAGACAGGGAAGAAGAAAGACAGUACAUGUAGAAUAAGCUCCGGCUAACUACGUGCC
rnacentral:rRNA from 1 species